CCACUCCUUACGGGGGAGACAGUCAUGAGACGUGAGUAUAAGACCUGAGUGUAAAGACCUUAGGGUGAAGCAAUUGGAGGGCAAGCUUUGGUGCCAGCAGCCGCGGUAACUCCAACUCCAAGAGUGUCUAUGGUGGAUGCUGCAGUUAAAGGGUCCGUAGUCGUGAAUGCAAUUAAAUGUCGUUGUUCAAUAGCGAUGAGUUUGCUAAUGUUUGCGGAACGGAUAGGGAGUGUAGUAUAGACUGGCGAAGAAUGAAAUCUCAAGACCCAGUUUGGACUAACGGAGGCGAAGGCGACACUUUUAGACGUAUCUUAGGAUCAAGGACGAAGGCAGGAGUAUCGAAAGUGAUUAGACACCGCUGUAGUUCCUGCAGUAAACUAUGCCGACAGCCUGUGUGUGAGAAUACGUGGGCGGGAGAAAUCUUAGUGUUCGGGCUCUGGGGAUAGUACGCUCGCAAGGGUGAAACUUAAAGCGAAAUUGACGGAAGGACACUACCAGGAGUGGAUUGUGCUGCUUAAUUUAACUCAACGCGGGAAAACUUACCAGGGUCAAGUCAUUCGUUGAUCGAAUACGUGAGAAUGGCAGGA
rnacentral:rRNA from 1 species